AGUAGAAUUGCUGGAUCAUAUGGUAUUUCUAUUUCUAACUUUUUAAAGAAGUGCCAUAUUGUUUUCCAAAGUGGUUGUACCAUUUUGCAUUUCCACCAGCAGU
rnacentral:pre_miRNA from 1 species